UAUAUUUGACCUGCUUUCUCAUUAUUGUUUAUCUAUUUAUACAUGUCUAAUCUUCUGUCUGCAAUCCUGGCUCAGCUUUUUAAUAUUUGUACAAGUCAUCUUGAUGUAGGAAAACAUCAAGAUGACUGUAUACCUUAAAGUCAAAUAUUUUAGUGUGAUUCACUUGAAUAAUUAGAACCUUCACCUAUGUUAUUCCUCAAUUGAAUUGUAGUUUUUUUCAGAAUGUCAAAAGACUAAAGGAGGAGACUAGCUUCCUUGAAGAUAAGUGGGCAGAGCUGGACAUAAACGAAGCUGUGCUUCAGGAGUGGGUUGCUGAGGUCCAGCAGUGGCCUGAAAGUAUGUUCGGUUCUGAACAAAUAGAGCAUAUAUGGCCCACACCGAAAACCAUCUGACUACAGUCCUAUCCCAUACUAUGUUUCCAACACGUUCUAAUUUUUCAAGUGAAUCAUACUAAAAUAUUUGACUUUAAGCAGUGUCUUCUCUCUUCAACUGCUAACUUUAUCUCGAGUUGAGUUCCACUUCCCUCAUUGCCCUAGUUCCUCAGCGACAGGCGUGCCUUAUCAGGAAGUGAAACUAGACUGCUCCCCUUUGUCUCCUUCCUUAGAAAUAUCAAAAUUCAGCAGAAUAUUAAUAUUUGAACAGAAAAUGAAAUUUCUUCACAUCCCCUUGCCUCACUCAGUAACUUUCCAUGCACAAAGUUCAUAUUAACUCUCAACUCUCAAAUAACUAUAUUUCAAGCCAGAAUCCAACAUGUAGAAAAGUGAAUGUUUAUCUGUCUCUCAACUUCAUAAUUGUAUUGAUGUCAGUGGAGUCAUGUUUGUAACCUGUCCUAUGUUUGACAGCCAACCUUCAGGAUAGUCAGACAGGGCAUCUCCAGAAGAAGAUUGAGGGGCUUUACCUCAGUGUGAACCAGAGGAAACACUACCUCUACUGUUUGACAGGUAACAAUAUGACCUCAAAGACAUUAGAAAUCAAGCAGUAAAACUGAUUUGUGAAAGAAGAUGCAUUAGUCAUUCACAAAUCAGUGCCUCUAAAGUAGCUCUGUAACCUAUUGUCAUGUAAUAUAUCUAAAUCUACAGUCAGUCUAAUCAGCCCUUUUUAUUCAGACGGCAACAAGAGAAGGCAUCAGAUUCUGAGAAAAAUUGUUGAGGACAAGGCAGCCUUGACAGCUGCCAUUGUUCAACUUCCCACACAGUAGGCAGAGUUUAGGCUCCCCACAGUGGAUGAGCUGCUCAAUACUGACAACUUUUUGUGGCCAUGGGAGAGACCUAGCACCAGUAAGUAUAUGAUUACAGAAGGUACAGUAUCUAUUGUGACUGAAAUUUUACCUUCAGUGUAGGCUGCAAUCAUUGCUGUUGUUCUACUAUAUACCUCUGUGAGUUUACAUCUCACAGGCAACAGCCAUCUUGCCAUCAAAAAGGCAAUCUUCAACAGACUGAUGUUGGUGAACAGACUGCAGGAGGAAGAGAGGGUCCUGGUGCAGGAGAUGAAGAGGCACUGGGGAGCCUACAAAGUACAGGGGGAACUCUGGAGGCACUGUCCGUACAGUUGCAAGAUCAGAGCAAUGCAGUGGAGUUGUCAGAGGGAGGGAGGAAUGGCCUUCUCUUCCUCCUGAAGAGAAGAUUGAGUGAACUGACACAAGAACAAGACAACACCAGGAACAACUACCAAAAGCUGAUUCUGGGAGAAGGGGCUAUUUUAAUGACUCUGAUGCAAAUGAAAACUCAGAUGAAGAUAGAAGUCCUAUUACUGAGAGCUCAGAUGGCGACUGCUAUGCUUUCUGAAAUCAUACACCACCCCGGCCUCUUUCUCUCGGACUCUCUCUCUCCCGCAGGAGAGGGGGAAGGCUGCCACCACCUCCCUCAUGAGCAGCCAGGGUUCCGACAUUGACCCCUGACCCCUUAUCUUCUGAACGCAUCCAGGGAAAUGUAUUUUGCCUGAUGAUGGUCUAGUGGAGAUUUGUUGCCAUGUUUCCUCUCCUCACCUCCUCCCCUUCCGGUCCUAGACUAUGGCGACAUCAUCAGCAACUCAGAAUGUUGGUUGAGGAUCUCUUUACUGAGGAAUGUGGUUGUUCUUCAUGAUUAAAAAUAUCUAUAUAUUUUCUAUGCUACUGGGAUUGUGAUUUUUUUGUGUAAUUUUGAGUUGCAAAAGAGUCCUAGGUCUCAAUGGGUCUGCUAAAAUAAAU
ensembl:lncRNA